rnacentral:rRNA from 1 species
GACGAACGCUGGCGGCGUGCCUAAUACAUGCAAGUCGAGCGCAGGAAACUGACGGAACUCUUCGGAGGGAAGGCAGCGGAAUGAGCGGCGGACGGGUGAGUAACACGUAAGGAACCUGCCUCAAGGAUUGGGAUAACUCCGAGAAAUCGGAGCUAAUACCGGAUAGUUCAUCGGACCGCAUGGUCCGUUGAUGAAAGGCGCUCCGGCGUCACCUUGAGAUGGCCUUGCGGUGCAUUAGCUAGUUGGUGGGGUAACGGCCCACCAAGGCGACGAUGCAUAGCCGACCUGAGAGGGGGAUCGGCCACACUGGGACUGAGACACGGCCCAGACUCCUACGGGAGGCAGCAGUAGGGAAUCUUCCACAAUGGACGAAAGUCUGAUGGAGCAACGCCGCGUGAGUGAUGAAGGUUUUCGGAUCGUAAAACUCUGUUGUAAGGGAAGAACACGUACGAGAGGAAAUGCUCGUACCUUGACGGUACCUUACGAGAAAGCCACGGCUAACUACGUGCCAGCCGCCGCGGUAA